GACGUAGGGGGCCAGCGUUGUUCGGAAUUACUGGGUGUAAAGGGUUCGUAGGCGGUGCGGCAAGUCGGGAGUGAAAUCUCUGGGCUUAACCCAGAGGCUGCUUCCGAAACUGCUGUGCUUGAGUGUGGGAGAGGCGCGUGGAAUUGCAGGUGUAGCGGUGAAAUGCGUAGAUAUCGGGAGGAACACCUGAGGCGAAGGCGGGCUACUGGGCCGAUGCUGACGCUGAUGCGCGAAAGCCAGGGGAGCAAACGGG
rnacentral:rRNA from 1 species